GCAGAGAACAGAACUUUCCAAAGCGUGAAGUUCAAGAGUCCGAAUAUCUGAUUCUACUCAUUUUCAAAACUGUGUCACCAAAUCCUGUUCAGUUCCUAAAGCCCCACCCUCAGAUUCCCAUGUGCCUGUCUUCAAACAUGGUUGGCAUCUGUUGAGUCAAAGGAGCCAGGAGGUGGAGACUGAGAAGAUUUAGAAGCUCUGAUGAAGUGGAUGGAGAAUGGAACCAACUGAGGUUAUGUAGAAUUGGCUCCUGAGGGCCAGAUAACAUCAGGAAUCACGUGCUGGUGAUGGAGGAGCCAGAUAGGAUGGUAAUUUCCCAUGAAAUCUGAGUGGGAGAAGAUCAGGAGAAGGAAACACUAAAGAUAGAGACAGAAGGCAGAAACUUGAUGGAGCCAGGUCAUGGAGUAGGCAGGAGAUGGGAGCAAAGGUAAAAUACAGGUGGAGUUUGCAACACCAGGGCUCCUUCCGCGUUGGAAAGGGUUGACCAUCAAAAGGAAAUCUAUGCCAUUUACCCAGUGGAGAAAUAAAUCUUCCUUUACUCACUUUUGCCCUGGCUCCUAUGUAAGAAGUCCAAAUGAACCCUGUUUCAUCUUAUUUCAUCUUUGGAAUUCCAGGAUUCUGUUUGGAAUUAUGACUCUGACUGCCUCUGGAACGUGUUGCAUCAGGAAAACUCACCAAGACUCAAACCAAGACAGAGAAGAAAAUGAAUAUGGAAAGAUGAGGAUGUGGCCUAAAUGAGUAAGUGCAACAAAACUAUUUAUCAUUUCAGUUAUAUUUUCUGACAGUCCCUUA
rnacentral:lncRNA from 1 species